GACGAACGCUGGCGGCGUGCUUAACACAUGCAAGUCGAACGGAAAGGCCCUGCUUUUGUGGGGUGCUCGAGUGGCGAACGGGUGAGUAACACGUGAGUAACCUGCCCUUGACUUUGGGAUAACUUCAGGAAACUGGGGCUAAUACCGGAUAGGAGCUCCUGCUGCAUGGUGGGGGUUGGAAAGUUUCGGCGGUUGGGGAUGGACUCGCGGCUUAUCAGCUUGUUGGUGGGGUAGUGGCUUACCAAGGCUUUGACGGGUAGCCGGCCUGAGAGGGUGACCGGCCACAUUGGGACUGAGAUACGGCCCAGACUCCUACGGGAGGCAGCAGUGGGGAAUAUUGCACAAUGGGCGGAAGCCUGAUGCAGCAACGCCGCGUGCGGGAUGACGGCCUUCGGGUUGUAAACCGCUUUCGCCUGUGACGAAGCGUGAGUGACGGUAAUGGGUAAAGAAGCACCGGCUAACUACGUGCCAGCAGCCGCGGUGAUACGUAGGGUGCGAGCGUUGUCCGGAUUUAUUGGGCGUAAAGGGCUCGUAGGUGGUUGAUCGCGUCGGAAGUGUAAUCUUGGGGCUUAACCCUGAGCGUGCUUUCGAUACGGGUUGACUUGAGGAAGGUAGGGGAGAAUGGAAUUCCUGGUGGAGCGGUGGAAUGCGCAGAUAUCAGGAGGAACACCAGUGGCGAAGGCGGUUCUCUGGGCCUUUCCUGACGCUGAGGAGCGAAAGCGUGGGGAGCGAACAGGCUUAGAUACCCUGGUAGUCCACGCUGUAAACGGUGGGUACUAGGUGUGGGGUCCAUUCCACGGGUUCCGUGCCGUAGCUAACGCUUUAAGUACCCCGCCUGGGGAGUACGGCCGCAAGGCUAAAACUCAAAGGAAUUGACGGGGCCCCGCACAAGCGGCGGAGCAUGCGGAUUAAUUCGAUGCAACGCGUAGAACCUUACCUGGGUUUGACAUGGAUCGGGAGUGCUCAGAGAUGGGUGUGCCUCUUUUGGGGUCGGUUCACAGGUGGUGCAUGCCUGUCGUCAGCUCGUGUCGUGAGAUGUUGGGUUAAGUCCCGCAACGAGCGCAACCCUUGUUCACUGUUGCCAGCACGUUAUGGUGGGGACUCAGUGGAGACCGCCGGGGUCAACUCGGAGGAAGGUGGGGAUGACGUCGAGUCCUCAUGCCCCUUAUGUCCAGGGCUUCACGCAUGCUACAAUGGCUGGUACAGAGAGUGGCGAGCCUGUGAGGGUGAGCGAAUCUCGGAAAGCCGGUCUCAGUUCGGAUUGGGGUCUGCAACUCGACCUCAUGAAGUCGGAGUCGCUAGUAAUCGCAGAUCAGCAACGCUGCGGUAAAAAGUUCCCGGGGCU
rnacentral:rRNA from 1 species